rnacentral:rRNA from 1 species
AUUGAACGCUGGCGGCAUGCCUUACACAUGCAAGUCGAACGGCAGCACGGGGGCAACCCUGGUGGCGAGUGGCGAACGGGUGAGUAAUGCAUCGGAACGUGCCCAGUAGUGGGGGAUAACCCGGCGAAAGCCGGGCUAAUACCGCAUACGACCCAAGGGUGAAAGCGGGGGACCGUAAGGCCUCGCGCUAUUGGAGCGGCCGAUGUCUGAUUAGCUAGUUGGCGGGGUAAGAGCCCACCAAGGCGACGAUCAGUAGCUGGUCUGAGAGGACGACCAGCCACACUGGGACUGGGACACGGCCCGGACUCCUACGGGAGGCAGCAGUGGGGAAUUUUGGACAAUGGGCGCAAGCCUGAUCCAGCCAUGCCGCGUGCGGGAAGAAGGCCUUCGGGUUGUAAACCGCUUUUGGCAGGAACGAAACGGCGCAAGCCAAUACCUUGCGCUAAUGACGGUACCUGCAGAAUAAGCACCGGCUAACUACGUGCCAGCAGCCGCCGUAAUAC